rnacentral:rRNA from 1 species
UACAUGCAAGUCGAGCGGACAGAAGGGAGCUUGCUCCCGGAUGUUAGCGGCGGACGGGUGAGUAACACGUGGGUAACCUGCCUGUAAGACUGGGAUAACUCCGGGAAACCGGAGCUAAUACCGGAUAGUUCCUUGAACCGCAUGGUUCAAGGAUGAAAGACGGUUUCGGCUGUCACUUACAGAUGGACCCGCGGCGCAUUAGCUAGUUGGUGGGGUAAUGGCUCACCAAGGCGACGAUGCGUAGCCGACCUGAGAGGGUGAUCGGCCACACUGGGACUGAGACACGGCCCAGACUCCUACGGGAGGCAGCAGUAGGGAAUCUUCCGCAAUGGACGAAAGUCUGACGGAGCAACGCCGCGUGAGUGAUGAAGGUUUUCGGAUCGUAAAGCUCUGUUGUUAGGGAAGAACAAGUGCGAGAGUAACUGCUCGCACCUUGACGGUACCUAACCAGAAAGCCACGGCUAACUACGUGCCAGCAGCCGCGGUAAUACGUAGGUGGCAAGCGUUGUCCGGAAUUAUUGGGCGUAAAGGGCUCGCAGGCGGUUUCUUAAGUCUGAUGUGAAAGCCCCCGGCUCAACCGGGGAGGGUCAUUGGAAACUGGGAAACUUGAGUGCAGAAGAGGAGAGUGGAAUUCCACGUGUAGCGGUGAAAUGCGUAGAGAUGUGGAGGAACACCAGUGGCGAAGGCGACUCUCUGGUCUGUAACUGACGCUGAGGAGCGAAAGCGUGGGGAGCGAACAGGAUUAGAUACCCUGGUAGUCCACGCCGUAAACGAUGAGUGCUAAGUGUUAGGGGGUUUCCGCCCCUUAGUGCUGCAGCUAACGCAUUAAGCACUCCGCCUGGGGAGUACGGUCGCAAGACUGAAACUCAAAGGAAUUGACGGGGGCCCGCACAAGCGGUGGAGCAUGUGGUUUAAUUCGAAGCAACGCGAAGAACCUUACCAGGUCUUGACAUCCUCUGACAACCCUAGAGAUAGGGCUUUCCCUUCGGGGACAGAGUGACAGGUGGUGCAUGGUUGUCGUCAGCUCGUGUCGUGAGAUGUUGGGUUAAGUCCCGCAACGAGCGCACCCUUGAUCUUAGUUGCCAGCAUUUAGUUGGGCACUCUAGGUGACUGCCGGUGACAACCGGAGGAAGGGGGGAUGACGUCAAUCAUCAUGCCCU